rnacentral:rRNA from 1 species
CGCGGCCUAUCAGCUUGUUGGUGGUGUAACGGACCACCAAGGCGACGACGGGUAGCGGGCCUGAGAGGGUGGCCCGUCACACUGGGACUGAGACACUGCCCAGACUCCUACGGGAGGCUGCAGUCGAGAAUCUUCCGCAAUGGACGCAAGUCUGACGGAGCGACGCCGCGUGUAGGACGAAGGCCCUUGGGUUGUAAACUACUGUCACGAGUUAUGAAUGGGUACGGGUUAAUAGCCCGUGCAUUGACGUAAGCUCGAGAGGAAGCACCGGCUAACUCUGUGCCAGCAGCCGCGGUAACACAGAGGGUGCAAACGUUGUUCGGAAUCACUGGGCAUAAAGCGCACGUAGGCGGCUUGGUAAGUGUGAAGUGAAAGCCCACGGCUCACCCGUGGAAUUGCUUUGCAUACUGCCAGGCUCGAGGACGGUAGGGGAGAGCAGAACUCCUGGAGGAGCGGUGAAAUGCGUAGAUAUCAGGAGGAAUACCAGUGGCGAAGGCGGCUCUCUGGUCCGUUUCUGACGCUGAGGUGCGAAAGCUAGGGUAGCGAACGGGAUUAGAUACCCCGGUAGUCCUAGCCGUAAACGAUGGGCACUAACUAGAGGUCUCCUGUUUGAUCUCUGGUGAAGCAAAUGUGUUGAGUGCCCCGCCUGGGGAGUACGG